UACGAAGGGGGCUAGCGUUGCUCGGAAUCACUGGGCGUAAAGCGCGUGUAGGCGGAUCGGCAAGUCUGCUGUGAAAGCUCCUGGCUUAACCGGGAGUGGUCGGUGGAAACUGCCAGUCUGGAGGACGGUAGAGGUAGGUAGAAUUCCCGGUGUAGUGGUGAAAUGCGUAGAGAUCGGGAGGAAUACCUGUGGCGAAGGCGGCCUACUGGGCCGGACCUGACGCUGAGACGCGAAGGCGUGGGGAGCGAACGGG
rnacentral:rRNA from 1 species